UUCUAAGGUCGCGAUUACAUCUGUAAGUUUCACUCACGUAAGUAGCUUACGUAAUUAACCUACGACAAACUAAC